UACAGAGGUGGCAAGCGUUGUUCGGAAUUACUGGGCGUAAAGGGCGCGUAGGCGGUCUUGUAAGUCUUGUGUGAAAUCCCUCGGCUUAACUGAGGAACUGCACGGGAUACUGCGAGACUUGAGUUCGGGAGAGGGAAGCGGAAUUCCGGGUGUAGCGGUGAAAUGCGUAGAUAUCCGGAGGAACACCGGUGGCGAAGGCGGGUCUCUGGGCCGAUACUGACGCUGAGGAGCGAAAGCGUGGGGAGCGAACAGG
rnacentral:rRNA from 1 species